AAUCAACGCUGGCGGCGUGCCUCAGACAUGCAAGUCGAACGAUUAAAGCUCUCUUCGGAGAGUGCAUAGAGUGGCGCACGGGUGAGUAACACGUAAGUAAUCUACACUCGAGUGGGGAAUAACGUCCGGAAACGGGCGCUAAUACCGCAUAAUGCAGCGGCAUCACAAGAUGACAGUAGUUAAAGAUUUAUCGCUUGAGGAGGAGCUUGCGGCAGAUUAGCUAGUUGGUAAGGUAACGGCUUACCAAGGCUACGAUCUGUAACCGGUCUUAGAGGACGGUCGGUCACACUGACACUGAAUAACGGGUCAGAGUCCUACGGGAGGCAGCAGUCGGGAAUUUUGGGCAAUGGGCGAAAGCCUGACCCAGCAACGCCGCGUGAAGGAUGAAGUAUUUCGGUAUGUAAACUUCGAAAGAAUAGGAAGAAUUAAUGACGGUACUAUUUAUAAGGUCCGGCUAACUACGUGCCAGCAGCCGCCGUAA
rnacentral:rRNA from 1 species